rnacentral:lncRNA from 1 species
GAAAUCUGGCGUCAACACAUGCCCCCCAGUUUCGGAGUAAAACAUAGUCUUUACUUCGAAAUUCUUUUCAACUUCCCCUCCGAAACAACCGCAAUGAAAAUAUCCUUCCGUUUCACGGUCUUCAACCUGAUGAUUGCAAUCUUUUCGAAAUGGGCGCCCACGACAACCACUACUCCCGAAAAACUCGAAACGCCGGCGCGGUAAAAAUUCCAUUUUUACCCUUCCUCAAGCCCCCUUUAAAUAUCAGCACACCCCGCACUUCCUUUUCGAGCUC